rnacentral:rRNA from 1 species
AUACGGAGGAUGCGAGCGUUAUCCGGAUUUAUUGGGUUUAAAGGGAGCGUAGGCGGGAGCUUAAGUCAGCGGUUAAAUGGUGCGGCUCAACCGUGCCCUGCCGUUGAAACUGGGUUUCUUGAGAGUGCAAGAGGCGGAUGGAAUUCAUGGUGUAGCGGUGAAAUGCUUAGAUAUCAUGAAGAACUCCGAUUGCGAAGGCAGUCCGCUGGGGCACGUCUGACGCUGAUGCUCGAAGGUGCGGGAAUCAAACAGGAUUAGAUACCCUGGUAGUCCGCACGGUAAACGAUGAUUACCCGCUGUCGGCGGUAGACAGUCGGCGGCCAAGCGAAAGCGAUAAGCGCCCCACCUGGGGAGUACGGUCGCAAGGCUGAAACUCAAAUGAAUUGACGGGG